GUGUUUUCAUUCUACAGACAAGCGUAACCCGUGGUGAUCAUAUUGUGCAUGCAGAAAAAAGCCAGCAACGGCACGAGAGGCGCGCCAAGGAGAGACACUGCUGUCCCUCACGGGCAGCCCCGUAUCAAGCACGCCUCCGGAGGUUCCUGUGCAUGUCCACAUCGACAAAGGCCAGAUGGUUAAAGUGAUAGCCAGCAACACCAGCGACGAGUCUGUGAAAAAGCUGUGUGAGGCGAUCGAGAACCUCUGCAAGAAGCUGUGACCCUCUGCGCACACGUCUCCUGGCAUCUCCAACUGCUUUUGCUGCAGAACUUUUGAGCUCCCCUCUCACGUUUCCUAAUUUAACAUGUAAAAAAAUUUUGCGUAUGA